rnacentral:rRNA from 1 species
GACGAACGCUGGCGGCGUGCCUAAUACAUGCAAGUAGAACGCUGAAGAGAGGAGCUUGCUCUUCUUGGAUGAGUUGCGAACGGGUGAGUAACGCGUAGGUAACCUGCCUUGUAGCGGGGGAUAACUAUUGGAAACGAUAGCUAAUACCGCAUAACAAUGGAUGACCCAUGUCAUUUAUUUGAAAGGGGCAAAUGCUCCACUACAAGAUGGACCUGCGUUGUAUUAGCUAGUAGGUGAGGUAACGGCUCACCUAGGCGACGAUACAUAGCCGACCUGAGAGGGUGAUCGGCCACACUGGGACUGAGACACGGCCCAGACUCCUACGGGAGGCAGCAGUAGGGAAUCUUCGGCAAUGGGGGCAACCCUGACCGAGCAACGCCGCGUGAGUGAAGAAGGUUUUCGGAUCGUAAAGCUCUGUUGUAAGUCAAGAACGAGUGCGAGAGUGGAAAGUUCACACUGUGACGGUAGCUUACCAGAAAGGGACGGCUAACUACGUG